rnacentral:tRNA from 1 species
AGGUGAUUAGCUCAAGUGGUAGAGCACCUCCCUUACAAGGAGGGGGUAGGCGGUUCGAAUCCGCCAUCACCUA